GACGAACCGUGCGAACGUUAUUCGGAAUCACUGGGCUUAAAGAGCGUGUAGGCGGCUGGGUAGGUCCGUUGUGAAAACUCGAGCUCAACCUCGAGACGCCGAUGGAAACCCUCCAGCUAGAGUCCGGAAGAGGAGAGUGGAAUUCCUGGUGUAGCGGUGAAAUGCGCAGAUAUCGGGAGGAACACCAAUUGCGAAGGCAGCUCGCUGGGACGUUACUGACGCUGAGACGCGAAAGCGUGGGGAGCAAACAGGG
rnacentral:rRNA from 1 species